GACGAACGCUGGCGGCGUGCCUAAUACAUGCAAGUCGAGCGCAGGAAACUGACGGAACUCUUCGGAGGGAAGGCAGUGGAAUGAGCGGCGGACGGGUGAGUAACACGUAAGGAACCUGCCUCAAGGAUUGGGAUAACUCCGAGAAAUCGGAGCUAAUACCGGAUAGUUCAACGGACAGCAUGGUCAGCUGAUGAAAGGCGCUCCGGCGUCACCUCGAGAUGGCCUUGCGGUGCAUUAGCUAGUUGGUGGGGGAACGGCCCACCAAGGGGACGAUGCAUGGCCGACGUGGGAGGGUGCUCGGCCACACUGGGACUGAGACACGGCCCAGACUCCUACGGGAGGCAGCAGUAGGGAAUCUUCCACAAUGGACGAAAGUCUGAUGGAGCAACGCCGCGUGAGUGAUGAAGGUUUUCGGAUCGUAAAACUCUGUUGUAAGGGAAGAACACGUACGAGAGGGAAUGCUCGUACCUUGACGGUACCUUACGAGAAAGCCACGGCUAACUACGUGCCAGCCGCCGCGGUAAAAC
rnacentral:rRNA from 1 species